GAUGAACGCUGGCGGCGUGCCUAAUACAUGCAAGUCGAGCGAACGGACGAGAAGCUUGCUUCUCUGAUGUUAGCGGCGGACGGGUAAGUAACACGUGGAUAACCUACCUAUAAGACUGGGAUAACUUCGGGAAACCGGAGCUAAUACCGGAUAAUAUUUUGAACCGCAUGGUUCAAAAGUGAAAGACGGUCUUGCUGUCACUUAUAGAUGGAUCCGCGCUGCAUUAGCUAGUUGGUAAGGUAACGGCUUACCAAGGCAACGAUGCAUAGCCGACCUGAGAGGGUGAUCGGCCACACUGGAACUGAGACACGGUCCAGACUCCUACGUGAGGCAGCAGUAGGGAAUCUUCCGCAAUGGGCGAAAGCCUGACGGAGCAACGCCGCGUGAGUGAUGAAGGUCUUCGGAUCGUAAAACUCUGUUAUUAGGGAAGAACAUAUGUGUAAGUAACUGUGCACAUCUUGACGGUACCUAAUCAGAAAGCCACGGCUAACUACGUG
rnacentral:rRNA from 1 species